rnacentral:lncRNA from 1 species
GACAGAACUUGUGGCUGCGAUUGGUGGGGGAGUUCAUGAAUUUGGCUACUUUUUCCUUUUAGUCUAUAUAAAUUUGACUUAUAUGCGUGACAAAGACGUAAAAUAUUUGUAUUGAGUUCGAUACAACACUAGGAACUAGACUCAGCCCACCAAACUACAACACAUUGGUCCCUGCAUUUGAUUCGGAACCUAACAGAAUUUUAUGUAGGGCUUGCCGCCUGAUACCAACGACCAUAUGGUGCUAACUCUCAUCAUAAAUCCACACUUGCGUGGAUGUGUAUGGUUAUGAAUAUCUCGACAAGUUCGACUGCUAAAUGUAGCACGAAACAAUAAUUUCUUUUUUCAAGAAAAUCGUUACGUGAUAGUACUAAUUCAAGUGUUAUAGUUGUUAAAAAUUUUGAGAAUACAGAUAAUGUUUAUCCUACAAGAAUUCACACAAGAUGAAUAUUAGUAAAUUAUAAUUUAUGUUGAUAUGAUAAAUCAUAUAAAUAAUGAAACAACAACGAAAUACUUAUUUUUUAUAACAUAGAAACCACUCUUCGUCAAUGCUUGAUUAGAAACAAAAUUUUAGGUUAAGGCAUGUAAGUCACUAUCUUUAAGGGUAAAUUUCACUCCUCGGCGACAAUAUCUCGAUGUAGUAGGUUAUGACGCCCUACCCUUCAAGACUUGUGAUCUUUGUAAGCGUGCGCUCGCAAUACUUAGAUCGGAUGAACAACUUAAUUCUUUAGCACUUGAGAGAAUAGGUGAUCAAAUUAAAAAGCAAGGAUUGAAAACUUAUAGAAUAGUAGAGGACUUGACUGGAACUGCAAUUUACCCUUUUGAUUUACGCAAUAGUAAUAUAUAGGUCUAAUCACAAACAGAAUGGUGGCCAAAUAAUGGGAAUUCGAGGAGCAUUAUUGCACAAUCAAAUGCUAACAAUAAACCUCCUUUAAUGCAUUAAUUUUGGUUUGCAAACAAAACUGAGAAUUAAAAGAAAAAUUAAGAAUGAUAUUAACAUGAUCAAUGAAGUUUUGAUAUAUGAAUUGUGUUUUGAAAUACCCAAUUACAUAUUCCAAUAAUCCCUGGCAUAUUUCAAAAUACAAAUUGAGUAGAAGGGAAUUUGAGAUGCAAAAGUUUAAAGAGGAAAUGAAGUACCAAAGAAAAGUGAAAAUCCAAACACAUCAGAACUGGUGUCUUUUUGACUAUGAACCAGCCUUAUGAAGAGCUAGUCGUUACUCAUAGAAAUUUGUUGAAAACUAAAUUUUCUAUGAAUCAAUGUUUAUUUGUAUGAAUCAUAUGACUAACCAUCCACAUUAAAUCCUUGAAAUUGAGCUUGUUCGAGCAGGUUGGCAUGAAUAGGUCAUGCGCCCACUUGGAUAUUCAUGAUUGCUCCAAAGAACUUGCCUAAACUCUCAUAGAAAGCAUCCUUACUCCUACACUCAUAUAGAUGAAUCCAUCAAGUACACAUUGCAUUCAAGCAUACCGCCUGUAUAUAGGGUAUAGUAUUCAUUAAGAACAUAAGUUCAAUCUCAUACACUGCAGUAUUUGCACCAUCUGCACCAUAGGGAUAGACUCUCAACAAUAACAACAUUUGAUCUAAAUUAAUAGUGCACGCCCGACCAACAAGUGAUUUGUUCUUACCUAUAUGAACCUACUUCAUGGGAUAUCCAUUCAUAGAAGUUGGAUUACCAUCAUUCUCGACGGUUAUUAUAGGCAUACGUCUUAUCCCCCUAAUGAGAUAAUCAACACUAACAUUUAGCUUAGUAAAUUUGUCAGAGGAUUAGCUAGAUCCAUUUUUACCUCAGUAGGGGUUUAGUAUACAAGAAUUACUACUCAUUUCUGGUUAAUACAGUAUAUAUAGUACCUUAACAUAUUUAGUAUAUAUUCAGAAUAUGCUUCUGUAAUGGUCCAUGAAACUUUUCGUACACCUGUUCAAUUCCAUUAAGUCCUAUUUGGUGAACUGGAUGAGAUAGAUUGUAAUUAAUUAAAAUGGACUUGAGUCCAAUCUGUUGUUUGAUGUGUCAAAAUAUUAGAUGGACAUGACUGAACAUGAUGAGUAACAAGUUCAUAAUAGAGUGAGUUAUUUAAUAUAUCUUUAUACAUGGGUUACACGUCAUAUCUUAUAAGUCUUUACCAAUCAAAUCUCAUCUCUAAAGCUCAAUCUUAUCCACCCACCAAACGGGCUCUUACAUCUGACCAGCUGAGUGUUACUAUCAUAUUGGCCACACAUAAUUUUCCAUACGAGAAUUGGUAAGAACAAAAUUAGUUUCUAUCGUAUUUCAAGAUAAAUCUGAUGCCAUGCAUAUGAACAACAUUUCAAGGAAGACAUGUUUGCCAAGGUCAAUAUCAAUUUUAAAUCGUAUGUUUUAGAGAAAUGGAGCAUUUGCAAUUGCAUCAUCAUAAACUAUGAUGUAUGUUUACCAUACACCUAAUCAUUUAUCACAUAUCAUUUUACUUAAUCUUAGUUAAUAUUUUUUAAAAUUGAAAAAGUAAUAUUUAAAGUGAAAGUUAAUUAUAAUUUAAGUGACAUGACAUGUGACAGAUAAUUAAGUGUACAAUAAAUAUAUAUUAUAGUUAUGGUGGUGAGCAAAAACGCUAUGUAGAGAGAAACUUACAUACUUGUAGCAUAUCUCCACAUUUUCAAAUAUGUCUUAUCACCUGCAAAAAAGAUUUGUACACACUAAUUUUUACUCCUUUUUACACUCAUGUUCAAUUGUACAAUAUGUGAGUGAGUGAGAGCUCUUAGUUGGAAUUUCCCGAUGGUUCACGUUUAAUGGUAAUUUAUUAUGAUGAUCAUUAUGAGACUUAGCACAAAUCUUUCAUUUCCUAGUAUAUGUCGUCGUGUUAUAAAAAAAAAUAAAAAAAACUACUAUUUGUACUCUAAAAAUUUAAAUGUACACUACUCAUAAGAAUAUUUUUCUUUCAAAAAAUAAGAAGUUUGGAGUGCACAAUUAAAUAUUUUGAUUGCCAAUAACAAAUUCCAAAAAACAAUGACUAAACGAAAUUGAUUUCCACUCACUAUUUUUCUCCUUUUACAUCUAUACUUUCAUGCUUAUUUUUUACCAUUGAAUUAAAUAUAAUCCAGAAAGGGUAAAUAAUUGGUCAUAAAA